AGAAGUUUAGGUUAAUUAGACCGAGAGCCUUCAAAGCCCUAAGCAAGUAGCACAUACUUAACUUCUG
rnacentral:tRNA from 1 species